rnacentral:rRNA from 1 species
UACGGAGGAUGCUAGCGUUAUCCGGAAUGAUUGGGCGUAAAGCGUCCGCAGGUGGCUGUGUAAGUCUGCUGUUAAAGAGUCUAGCUCAACUAGAUACAAGCAGUGGAAACUACACGGCUAGAGUACGUUCGGGGCAGAGGGAAUUCCUGGUGUAGCGGUGAAAUGCGUAGAGAUCAGGAAGAACACCGGUGGCGAAGGCGCUCUGCUAGGCCGUAACUGACACUGAGGGACGAAAGCUAGGGGAGCGAAUGGG